UCAGUUGUUCGGUUUGGUUCAGACAGAUCCAACUGACAGAUGAACCAGCGCGGAUUUCUCUGCAGAUGCGACCAGGAAGAAUUUGUGAGCCUGUGCGUUCAGACCCCAGCGGGUUUAGUGCUGGUAAUUUCAUUUAAUUUAUUAUAAGUUAUUGGAGCCACAGUCAGUGGUUUGUGUCAUUACAGAGAAGAAGUUAGGUACAUUUAUCUGCUUUAUGUGUGAUGGGAUCUGGAUUCAAUUAGGUGAAUAUUAAGUAAAUCGCAUAAAAAUGCGGCUAAAUAGUCUAUGUUAAUAUGUUUUGACAGGAAAUUUGACAGGUAAAAAUAGUUACCUGUCGGACCAGAAUUAUUUGCCUGAUGGUGGCUCAGGCUUUUAAUGAGUUUGCAGCACACAGAGAAACACUUAAGAGAAUGUGUGAUCUAGUUGUGUUGAUCUACUUAUUGUAGUUUAAAUAGAGGAAUAGCAGCUGACUGGUGAGGGAGGAAAGAAAUGAAAGCGCUGAAGUCCGUUAGUCAGAAACAAGCGCAGCGCACAGGGCAAUAAAUGCGCAUAAAUGCUCCACCGUUACGCUCCAAUUAAUCACACAUGAGAUGACAAUCGACAAAUAUACAAUAUAUAGUUACGCUGCUCACGUUAAUGGUGUUUUCAAAACAAAACCAGUAAAAACUUAACUGAGUAUGUCAGAUUCCCUCCUCAGCCUCGUCUUGAUAAGAACAGAGAGCAGUCCGCUGGUUUCGUGUCCAGACUGUAAUAAAGCGCAGCUGACCACUUGGUGUGCAGGCAGUUUCAACUUUACGCACAGAGAACGUCGUGGAGCUCAUUAUUAACCAUACUAAGAACCAUAUCGAUCAGAGUAUCACCUCUGAUCUGGACGCUUUAACGGACCAGAGGCUUUGGAGCGUCCAGCGCAGCUGAUCCGCUUCUGCGGGGUUUUUCUCCCGCAGGCCGAGAGAAGUGAUGCGGGAUCAGGAAACGAUCAGACUUCUGCCGUCUUCUAAUCACGUCAUUUGGUGAAAUGUUACCUGAUUUCAAAAACGUUCUCGCAGAGAAAUACUAAAUGCUUCGUUUGAUGACUACAAAUUGGAAAUAAAAUGAUUUUUUUCUUUGACGGACAACGAUUUUUUUUUUUUUUUUAGAGGAUCAGUAAAUAACUUAUUGGUGUUUUACCAUCACCACCAGGUAUGAAGUGCUUUAGCCUGUGAG